UUUAGACUUAAGAGCUAUUCAAAUAAGGCACAGCUUAUUUGAAAUAGGACACAACCUACAACAUAGGGUAAACUAGAGUAACCUAAAUAAAGUGGGCCUAAAAGCAGCCACCUUUAGAAAAGCGUUAAAGCUUAACUACCUUCACUCAUAAUGCCUAAAAUCUCCACUAACCCUUCAUUACUACUGAACAAUUUUAUACUCAUAUAAAAGCUAUCAUGCUAGAACUAGUAACAAGAAACUGCUUUUCUCCUAAAUGUAAACAUAAACCAAAAUAGACUCUCUAUUGGUUAUUAACGUAAAUGCUAAACUGUAGCAACACUCACUAGAAAAUCCUAUAAACCCCAACGUUAACCUUACACCAGAACAUUACAGGAAAGAUUAAAAGAAAAAGAAGGAACUCGGCAAAUUUUAGCCUCGCCUGUUUACCAAAAACAUCGCCUCUUGACAAAACAUAAGAGGUCCAGCCUGCCCAGUGACAAAGUUCAACGGCCGCGGUACCCUAACCGUGCAAAGGUAGCACAAUCACUUGUUCUUUAAAUGAGGACUCGUAUCAACGGCACUACGAGGGCUAUACUGUCUCCUUUUUCUAAUCAGUGAAACUGAUCUCCCCGUGAAGAAGCGGGGAUUAUAAUAUAAGACGAGAAGACCCCAUGGAGCUUUAAACUCACCAUGCACCUCUGUGCUCCUAUACCCCUAAACACAACAGACCUGCAUGUUAGUUUUAGGUUGGGGUGACCACGGAGUAUAACUUAACCUCCACAGCAAACGGGCUAAUACCCUUAUCCACGAGACACAACUCUAAGAAUUACUAAACUAAUGCUUACGACCCGAUAUUCGAUCCAUGAACCAAGUUACCCUGGGGAUAACAGCGCAAUCUACUUCAAGAGCCCAUAUCGACAAGUAGGUUUACGACCUCGAUGUUGGAUCAGGGUAUCCCGGUGGUGCAGCCG
rnacentral:rRNA from 1 species